ACAUGAUUUCCCUUUUUUAUGUAGAUUUUAUGUUAAAUUGUCUUUGCAUUUCUUGGUUGUUAAAAGUUCUGUAUUGUCUUUCAACAAUCUAAUUAAAUUGUCAUACCAGGUGACUUGAUUUUAAGCUCUCUUAUGUUCAUUUCUCAUCGUGGCAUGGAGCUUUGCAGUCUCAUUUAAAAAACUGCUUUGUGGGUGUUUUUGCAUCUGUAUGCAUAUAUCCGUUUUUAAUGGAGAGACUUCACCCUUUCCUAUUAUCAGCUGGCUUAUUUAUAACUAUGUAGUUUCUGUUUUUGAAUUUUUCUCUAUUUAAAAACAGAAACUACAUAGUUAUAAAUAACUUCACUUUUACAUCAGAAAUUCAGAAUCCUUAAGCAGCUCUUAGCCUCUCUUUCUGACUGUCCCGGUGUUUUUUCUUUUUCGUCAUUGAUACUUCGUAUUAGGUUCAACAUUAAUGUAUCUUGCUAUAUGGUGUCUUCCUUCUGAUUGUGACAGUCUAAACCAACAAUAUAGUAUGAGCUUAAAUAGCUACAAUUCUGAUGCGUGUGAACCAACGUAUAGAAUCGGAGAUGCAUUAUUCAAUUAAUAACAAAACAAAAUCAAAAACAGUUUUAAGUUUUACUAAAACUAGAGACUAAAAACUGGUAAUAAUACCAAACACACCCUAAAAGAAUAAUUUCCAUUCAUUACGGAGUGAAAUUCAUAGUCAAUAAUCAAUUAAUUACAGAGUGAUAUUUAUACAACAAUCCUAAAAGUCACAAACUUCUGAUCAUCUUUACAUCACAAACUUUCAGAUCGUACUAGCUACAAUCUUAAUAGAAAUCCCAGAUUCAUAAGUUUGUGUUAGUUUGAUACUUGGGGGAUUUAAGGUAUUAGACUUUCAAAAAAAUAAAAAAUGGCAAAAGCAAACAGCAGGAAUGAGAUUUUCUUAUUCCAACCUGAUUCAGAUAUUUGCUAACCAAAUAGGCUUAUUCGUAAAGUAAACUCAUGUCUCAAGGCAUGGAUUGGAUUUCUAAAUCCUAAAUUUGAUACCAAGCCAGCGAGUCCUCACAAAUAACUUUAAUCACAUCAUAUCAAAUUUUGUAAGGAAAUUUAGACAACUGACUUAAGUUCCUCCGAUAAAAUCUUUGAUAUUCCAGCUAGGAGAAACAACCUCAUUUGUAGAUUCUAUAAGAUAAAAGCUUUUGCUUAGUACUUUAUAUUGUCCCUAUCAGAAAUGGUGAGCAAGUAGCAUUUAAUCAACAGUCACUGAUAGAAUGCUGAAACUCAUCCCAUUCAUAUAGGGAGUUCGAAAGCUCCUGAAACUGGUCGUUCCAAAACUCAAUUUGUUAGCGCCAUUAUCCAAGUGCAGGGCAUUGCUAUACAGGCAUACAAACAUGGUCCAGGCACCUAGCUAACAUAUCAGUAGAAUACUAUCACUAUGUUUCUUGACAUCCAUAUUCGAGUCUGCAAGUUGUAUCAGAAGGAUUGCCUGAUGUGGAUUGCGAUCUAUAAUUGAUUGCUCUUUGAAUUUCAGCUUCCCACUGCCUUUGAUGCGCAUGGUGCCUAAUAAUUUCAGCUUGCAGGAAUAAUACAUUUAGCAUUUGAACACCUUUAGUAUGGCUAUAUAUUCAUGUAAAUAAUGAUGAACACCUUUAGCAUCAUUAUUUAGCAGUUGAAAAUUUGAAGGCCAACUUGAUGAUGUAGGCAAGGAAAAGCUUAUCUGCUUAGGAUUUAAAGCAAACUUGCAGGAAACUUUGUUGCUGUUCUGUUUAGAACUUGAUGUUUGUUUGCAAAAAAGGGAUAACUGGUCAUGGCAGAAGCUGGGGAUCCGGGAGCCAAACUGUUUGUUGGGAAAGUGAGGAGCAGUUUCAUAUUGGCCAUAUGUCCAUGCUUCGGAAAGCAGUGAUGCUCUAGACUGAUUUGGUGUGUUAUUGGAGUUCGUGUUUAUUUUACAGGAUGCAUGUGUAUGUGAUGACUAAUUAGUUCAAAAGAAACUAAUUUCUUUGAUUGAUUAAGUGUUCCUAAGGUUUAAUUCAGUUAGUUUGUUAUGAAUUAUGUUUCUUCUGUGCAGACAUAGCACCAGUAAAAAAUCCAGCCAAACUACAAAAAAAAAAGACCACCUGCAGACAGAGACAGACAGCAACAGCAACAGAGAAUAGAGAACGGCAACUGAGUGAUUUUUCAAGGGAUUUUGACUUUUCAGUAGUACUGUAUGGACCUUUACUUUAUUUAAACGGAACAAUUGUUUUGUUUUUCUUAGUUUGAUUACGAAUUAAUUAUGAAUAUUGAAUUAUUAGUGUUAUGGAAUUAACUAUUUAGAUCCCGUGAAAAUGCACACGGUGUAAAAUUUUUCUUUAGAUGAACUUUGUGAACAAAUUUUGUGGCAUGUUAUUUUUGGUGAUUAGUUGCAAUAAAAUAAUUUAAAGUUCUGAAA